GCCAGUGUGGUGUAGUGGUUAGUGCAUUGGUCUAGGACCCGAGAGACCAGGGUUCGAAUCCCCACUCUGUCA